rnacentral:rRNA from 1 species
UACGAAGGGUGCAAGCGUUACUCGGAAUUACUGGGCGUAAAGCGUGCGUAGGUGGUUUGUUAAGUCUGUUGUGAAAGCCCCGGGCUUAACCUGGGAACUGCAUUUGGGACUGGUUUGCUAGAGAUCGGGAGAGGAGAGUGGAAUUCCCAGUGUAGAGGUGAAAUUCGUAGAUAUUAGGGAAGAACACCGGUGGCGAAGGCGGCUCUCUGGACC